rnacentral:rRNA from 1 species
GACGAACGCUGGCGGCGUGCUUAACACAUGCAAGUCGAACGAGUGGCGAACGGGUGAGUAACACGUGGGUGACCUGCCCUGCACUUCGGGAUAAGCCUGGGCAACUGGGUCUAAUACCGGAUAGUGUGGGAUGGGCCCGCGGCCUAUCAGCUUGUUGGUGGGGUAAUGGCUACCAAGGCGCGACGGGUAGCCGGCCUGGGAGGGUGGACGGCCACAGUGGGACGGAGACACGGCCCAGACUCCGACGGGCGGCAGCAGUGGGGAAUAUGGGACAAGGGGCGAAAGGCUGAUCCAGCCAUGCGGCGGGGGUGAAGAAGUUCGUCGGAUUGUAAAGCACUUUAAGUGGGGAGGCGUUACCAACAGAAUAAGCACCGGAUAACGUCGCGCCAGCCGCGGUAAUUC